UGUAGGAGCGAGCUUGCUCGCGAUAGCGGUGUCUCGGUCAGCAUCCAUAUUGACUGACCGACGGCUAUCGCGAGCCAGCUCGCUCCCACA
rnacentral:misc_RNA from 1 species